GUUUGUGGAGUGGAGCUCUUUGAAGUCCAAAUGAGGAAAUUGCUUGGUUGAUAAAGCUGCUAAGUUAUGGAUCCCAUAGUUCUACCCAUUUCAUGUGUUUGAGGUAGUUCUGCGGCUUGCAUAUCUUGGGAGCUUCAUUACCUAUAAGUCUUAUCUUUCUUUGGAUUGAAGGGAGCUCUACACCUUCCUCUC
rfam:Lupinus angustifolius cultivar Tanjil chromosome LG10, whole genome shotgun sequence.